rnacentral:rRNA from 1 species
AUGCCGGACAGGAGAGGCGCGACCCAGCUCGAGGACCUACCCCACGAUAUCAUCGAGAAGAUACUCCUCCGGAUGCCCUCCAAGGACGUUGGCCGCUGCCGAGCCGUCAGCACGUCAUGGUGCACUGCCACAUCCACGCCCAAAUUCAUGCUCGACCACCACCAGCUGCAGCCCUCGCUGCCGAUUAUUGACGGCCGGGGGCUGCCCACUAGUUUUGUCCUCUUCCACCCCGCCGGCACCAAACAACAGCUCUGGCCUUUCUCCCGGUGCGUCAAACACCACUCCGAGAUUUGUCUUCAUGGCGGCUGCGAUGGCUUCCUCGUCAUCUCCUGGCUGCACCAAUUCUACAUCUGCAAUCCGGUUAUCCACACGCAUGCUCUCCUACCACAGCCUCAUGUUGAGCACGCCCUCUACAACACCAUAAUUGGUUUCUACCAGCACCUUCCGACUCAAGAAUACAGGGUGCUCUGGGUCUCGGAACCAUGGCACCCGUAUAAAUCCAGCUUGCAGGUUCUCACAGUGGGAUCCAAUGUGAUGAGGCAUAUCAGCGUCAGAAUGCAAACACUUGCACCACCAUCCGUGGAACAGCAACAGCAGUUACUCAAGGGAUUGCGCUCUAAGUCGUGCUGUCCACCAUCAGUGCUUCACCGUGGCAGCUUGCACUGGUGUCCUUAUGAUGCCACUGAAAUUGGGGGACACAGCUCAGACAUUAUUGUGUUUGACACAGAAGCCGAGUCAUUUCGGUGGAUGCGCAGUCCCACCCAGCUGUGCCAUCAUAGAAAGCUGUUCAACAUGAACGGGACACUUGCUUUCUGGGGCAGCUUGACUCCCAGCUUGACCGCUAUGGAUGUCUGGGCGAUGCAGGAUUACGCCUGGAGUUUCAAGUACCGGAUUGACGUGUCAACGCUGGAGGUAUCACGGCAACUUUAUUCAACCUCUUUCAAAAAGAAAAAGAGAACACCACUUGAUUCAACAGUGCAAUGGCUCAAUGAUAUGGUUGUGUUGAACGACCGUGACCUGCUGAUCAUGUUUAACAGUAAACAUGUAAUGCAUUGUGACAUUGAUGGCAACUUCUUAGGAAUGGUGAACAUCGGAAAGAGUCAAUAUUGUAUGAUGCUUAAUCACUGCCGCCUCAAAGAGAGCAUUAUUCCAAUUCCAUCCCACUAG